AUUGAACGCUGGCGGCAGGCCUAACACAUGCAAGUCGAACGAGUGGCGGACGGGUGAGUAAUGUCUGGGAAACUGCCAGAUGGAGGGGGAUACCUAAUGGAAACGGUAGCUAAUACCGCAUACCAUCGGAUGUGCCCAGCUGGGAUUAGCUGGUAGGUGGGGUAACGGCUCACCUAGGCGACGAUCCCUAGAGGGUCUGAGAGGAUGACCAGCCACACUGGGACUGAGACACGGUCCAGACUCCUACGGGAGGCAGCAGUGGGGAAUAUUGCACAAGGGGCGCAAGCCGGAUGCAGCCAGGCCGCGUGUAUGAAGAAGGCCUUCGGGUUGUAAAGUACUUUCAGCGAGGAGGCGUUACUCGCAGAAGAAGCACCGGCUAACUCCGUGCCAGCAGCCGCGGUAAUAC
rnacentral:rRNA from 1 species